GAUCAAUCCUCCUUCAGAGUCAAACAGUCCAGGUUUACUUACAAUUUUAUUACCUAUUUUUGCAUUAGUAUUAGUUGUAUUGCUGUUAAUAAUAUGUUGUUGUGUGCCAUACUGCAAGAAAAAUUGUUUUUGCAUUGAUAAUUCAGAUGGAAACUGUGAGUUAAACAAAAAUUGUAUUUUAUAUCGUUCUCUCUGUUCCAAAGAAAAUACGAAAUGUGUGAAAUGUGGAAAUGAAAAAGAAAAAUGCCAGUGUGUAAAGAUGGUGGAAGCUAAUGGUGAUGUGGAUGGUGAUGGGGAUGCUGUAUAAGUUUUUCUGCAUGUGAAUUAUCACAAAGGUGAAAUGCAGUAUCACAAAUUUGUACAAGAUUCUUUUAAGUUUGGAAUUUAAAGACUAGAGGACUUGUGCAAAAAGGACGAAUGUGUGCAUGUAACUUUUAUGACUGUUCAUGCUAUAUGAGAGGUAUAAUAUGUAACUAUAAUACAUACUUAUUCCCUAUAAUAAAGAAUGGGUGGUUUAGCAGUUGGUAUUUAAACAGUAUAAAAGUGUCUGUGAGUCAGUGAACACAGUCCAUGCAGGUACGAAUACAUAAAAAUCCCUGGUGUGUUCAAGUUAUAGAAAUACACCAUAUCAUAGCAGAAUUUGUUUUAUUUCAUAUUUCAGCGAUAAAAUGAUAUAAAAAUAAAAUUGAAAUAAAACCAGUAUCAGCAUCAGAGUGUCCAUAACUCACAUCCUGCUGGAACCGAAAAGUGACUAACACUUGCCCCCAUUAUAUGGCCAGGCCAGCCUGUACAUCUGUCUGACCAGACAGCAAUAUCAAGCAACUUCAGAUUUUCAUCUUGAUAUCCCCAAAUUUUGAUGUGGACAGAUUCUAAAAAUCCUGGAUAUGUCCAGCAAGUCAACGGUUAAGAACACUGAUCAGCUUUUUCAAUUUAAAUUGUUUGAUACUUUAAAAAAAAAUAGAAAUGAACGUAGGAGUUAAAUACUAACUCACAUAAGGAAAAAUGCUAUCUCACAUAAGGAAAUAAAUCUAAAAAAAAAUGGGUUUUGGCAAUAGAGAUUUGGUUGCCAGGCAAAGAUACUAGUCAUGAAAAUUUAUUAUUUUAAUAAUGAUGAAUGUGUACAAAGUGUGGAAGUAGCUGUUGUUAAUAGUUGUCAUCUGGAAAAUUAUUGUUGAUAAUUUCUUUAUUCAUUUGAGUAGUUCCUUUAUUCAUUUUGAGUAAGGGAUUUUACAAUAUAUUAUGAGGGUUGACUGCUGAACCAUUGAGUCCUUCUUUAACAAGGUUCAUACAGUCUUAAAAAGUGCUUAGAUUUGAGUCUCUUAACAAGUGCUUGAAAAUUGCAUAAAAAGUGCUUAAAUUAACUGCAAAUAUGCUUGAAAAUGAUUGAAUAGUUUACAAAAAACAAAACUAAAAAAAAAACCCCAAAAAACAAUCAAUUUAGUACCAAAUCCAAUGAACAAUGACACUGAUUAAAUUUGCUGGUCAUACUAGAAUAAUUUAGUUGCACUUUACAUGAAAUAUAUAUACAUGUAUUAAAAUAUCACAUAAUGUACAAUGUAUGUUAUUUAGCAGUGAAGAAUAAAGUGUCAGAUGUUUUAUGACUGUUUUAAAGUUUCAUCUGUAACUGUUUCAAAGUUUCAUUUGUAACUGUUUUAAAGUUUCAUUUGUAACUGGUUUCAUUUGUAACUGUUUCAAAGUUUCAUUUGUAACUGUUUCAAAGUUUCAUUUGUAACUGUUUCAAAGUUUCAUUUGUAACCGAUGAUUAAGAAACUUCAAAACAGUCAUUUUGAUAAAUGGGGAAAAAGAUCUGACCUUUGUAAGCAUAAUCAUAAUCUCUUUUUUCAAUGGAGCAAAGAAAUGAUAAAAGCUUAAAAGAGAGCACAUUUCACAUUUCUUUUUUAUAUAUCACUGAUUUAAAUUUGAAAUAUUGGUUAUUUAUUAUGCCUUACUUUUGUAAGCGAUAUUUAUUCAUAAAUAAUAACUGUGUAGUAAAACUCUGAAUCAUGUUUCAUCAUAACAUUUAAAAAUUUGUAUUAACUUCAGGUUAAACAUCAUAAUUAUAUAGUUUGUAUUCUUGUGUAUGCAUGAACCAUGAUAAGAAGAUUUCUUAGUUUGUACACAUGUCACAUAACAUAGUAUAAAGUUUUAUUAUAUGUGUAAUAUUCAGUAUAUGUAUAAAUCAAUAUAUUAUCAUAAAAAGAAAAUUAUUCAGGUAAGAUAUAAAUUAUUACAUGUGUGUAGAUGUUACAUGUAUAUUUGAUAGUUAUACUAUGUAAAACAUACCAUUUUGUCAUUUAGUAUAGUUAUUUUGGCAAAAAAAGCAUCAGUUGCCAGCAAUACUAGUUAUUGUAGACAUAAAUAAGUGUUAUGUACCUUUGUACAUAUAAAAUGUCACUGUAAAUCUUAAAAAACUGUCUGAGAUUUUCUUACCUUUAACCUGCUGAAUUUAUGUAAUGGAUAUGUCCCGCUUUCAGUUUGGAACAGUCCAUUUUGAUCUUAAAAUCCCUUACAUUUGCAGUAGACUAUUCCAAAUUCAAAGUUGAAGGAAUUUGUGAUGCAAAACUGGGUGAGAUACUAAUAAAAUGAUCAAUGCAUGUAAAUGUUGCAUAAACAUAAUGUCUUUGUCUACCUGUUUCUAUAAGACCCCAUCAAAAUAAUUGCCAAGUUACCAAAUAUUUACUGCAAAAUUGAUUCAGGCUCUUUAAGCAGACUUUCUUGACUUUUAUUCAAAACACAAAAGAAAAGUUUGCACACCUUCGAAAAUGUUUUUAAUCUGGUUACCAGUAAUUAAAUUUAUCUCCUGAAUCUAAAAUACAUGUAGCUCUGAAUACCCCCAUUGCUUUAUUUAUUUGUGCACUUGCAGGUUGUUUGAACCCAGUUAAUGUCUUAAUCUGACAUGAACAUACCGGUGGAAUUUUCUUAUUGAAAAUACCUUAAUCAGUGAAUUUUUAAAUUUUGUUCUCUAGGUAUACCUUUAUAUCUUUUAAUAAAUUUCUUCAGUUGUGGAACAACAGUAGUGCUGUUUUCAAGGAAUUUGUGAAGGAUUUUAUGAUAAGAAACAAGGGUGCAUUUUGUAUAUUAGCACACCUGUAUUUGAUACAGGCAUUGUGUAAGAGGAAAUUUUGUAAAUAAUAUUGCAAGUCUGUUUUUAUAGUUGUUGUUCUUUGUUAAAAAAGAAACUGUCAUUUUGACUAAAUAUUUAGUUUUCAUUGUAUUUUCAUGUAAUUGUAUCUGAAGUCAGUUUCGAUAUGACUUAUAUCUGAUAAUCUCUACAGUUAUAAAAAAAAAAAAAAAAUUCUUGACAUGAAAGUGUAAGAGAUAAAAUUGUGUGUGGUUUUUGUUUUUUUUUCUAUCCUUGAAAAAAAAGUAAGUUUGUACAGAAUUAAUUUUACUUAGUUUGAUUAUGUAGAUUAUAGACAUACUCUUGAGCAACCAAUAUACAUUUGCUUGCAUUUAUAUAAAUAUGUAAGAAUCCAAUAUACAUAUAAGAAAGUCCUUAUGAGUGUAAUUUCCUAUGUUCAAUUGUACAAGUCGCAUUAAUGUCAGUCAUUAUCUUUCAUUUGUAGUUUGUUCAAGUUUUAAGUUAACAUUUAUACAUUUUAUAUUUUUUCUCCAUUGUAACUUUUCAUAUUUUAGUACAUGUAGUAUGUUACUGUUUGUUGGUAUUUGAAUAAAAAUGACUGUACUUGAUAUUUGCUUCCUUGCUACGUGCAAAUCAUUAACACUUAUUCUCACGCGAAUUGUGAAAUUGAUGUCGCUGCACACUCUGAACAUAAUCGAUUCAGAAAAACUUGCUAUUUGAUAGCUAACGUGCAAAAAGUAUAUAAGGAAAUUUUUUGAUCCAUAGACUUCAUUGAUAACACAUUCGAUACCAAAAUUUUAUGAGGGAAGCUAUUGGAAAUGUAAUAUUCGAGACUGUCCCCAUUUUGGAUUAUUCGUGUUUGAGCUAGUGUAACCCCAAAAACCUAUACAAUUUCGGCAAAAAAUUAAUUUGUGCAGGAGUAUGUAUGUCUUCUUAUCUGUUUUCGAAGCUUUACCCACUUGAAAAGACUGAUCUUUGUCAUAUGUAGAAUGUUUUAGAACUGUCCCCAAAAUUUACUGGCAUCGGUAAUGUACGCGACUUGUAAAUUAAGUGCCGCACAUAACUGAAAAUAACUUAGUAAAUCUAAGUCGUUUUAUAAUUAUGUUUAUUUACAAUUAAAUACUUAUGCUACUAUAGCCAGACUUAUCUUUCUUAUGAUAAAUUCUAAGAUUAACCGAGAAGUCUAUUACUUUGAUAGCCUGUGCGAGAUGAUGACUUAAGCAUGUAAUGUUCACUACUUAAAAAUUAGUACGUUCUAUGUACUAUUUCCCAAUUAAGGAAUUUUUAAUAAAUGAUUUACAUUUGGAGGGAUUAUAAUAACCAAAUCUGAAAGAAUUGUGCCCACGAAUCUUUUAAUAAAUAAUAUAUCUAUAUACACACAUGUCUGUAAUGUAUGCGACUGUAAUGUUCAAUACAAUAAAAAUGUAACAUGGCUUUAGUAUACUUAAUUUUUCAAUUAACCAGGACUUAAACUAGUCAUUUUUGUGUUAUACUUAAUCAUAGAUGCAGCAUAAAUGUAUACAUCCUUUGUAUUUUUACAGUUAUAAUCAAAUUUUCUUAAUUUUGUAUAAGUAAGGCUAUAGAAUCUAGUAACUGAAUAUCAGAUUCUAGUAACUACAGAAACAAAGAUAUAAUACGUUUAAUAUUUAUUUUCUUCUAAAGCCAGAAUCUGUAUGCAAGGUUUUAUUACUGAAAUUGUUUAGAUAUAGAUUAUAAGUGAUAUGCCUUUCAUAAUAGGUAUUGUAAUGUUCACUACAUUUCGUAUCGGACAUUACUGAAUUAUUCAGAUGGCAAUCUAUACAUUUGUUAAUGUUUUCAGCGAUUUUGCUUUUGUUUUGAGAAAAUAUUCCAUAAUUAUAUACUGUUUAAAUAAAGUAAAUAGGUGUUUGUAAUUUAAAUGCGUAAAUAUAUAUGAGGCAAUAUUGUUGAUUAUCAUCUAAAUCAGUUUCAAACCCCAAUAACAUUUCACCGCGUAAGUAAAAAAAAACUACUAUUAUAAACACACAUAUAAUAACUGAAAAUAUUAUCAGAUACUAUUAACAUAGUUGCUGACAUGUUUAAAAUAUAUCACCUACAAUAUUAUACACAUGAUAUCGUCUACAACAUAUAACAAUGAUGUAUCAAACAUUACAAUAUUAGUAUCGAACAUUACACGCAGAUCUUGAAAGUUUUCUUCAUCUCUACAGUCAUGUAUGGUGAAAUCUGUAUUAGAAAUAAGUUGCACUUACAAGUGUAGAAGAGGAAAAGACAAUGUUGGCUCUUUGUAAUUGAAAUAUUUUAAACUACGUAGGAAGCACAUAAUAAUUAACAAUUAAAAUACAUUUUAUCUCAAUAUUGGCUAGUAAGAUGCCCUUUUUGAAAUGUUCUGUUCAAAUUUUAAAAUUUGAUGUAGCCUUAAUAAUAUCAAAGGCAUGAAUUGUAAUAUAUGUAUUGUUAUUCUGUACGCUGCAUAUAUGCCCACAAUCUCAGUAUAUAUGUUUUAUGACAUUGAUAUUAAUAUAAGGACAGGUAUAUAACUUCUUUAGUAUGCCGGAUACAUAGUUAUACUCGUAAUUUAAUUCAUUUGUACAAUAUUAUUUACCCAUGCUAUUAACUCAAGCUUAAAUGAACACACUUAAUAAUAUUAAGUUUAAACUUUAAAAAAUGAUUGUAUAAUAAAAUGAUAAAAAUAAUAGCUAUUACUAUUACCCACAACGAAUAUUUUUACUGGAUUACGUAAUGUCCGAGACAAUUGAUGUUCUGUCAAAAAGACUCUAACACAAAAUGUUAGUCAUGUAUUUUGUUUGCAAAGUUGUUUUUCGUCACGUUAUCAUUAUUGAAGUAAGGUUUGAACAAAACAUAAGAACAAAUAAAUGGAAUCAUACAAUUGAAAUCAAUCAUCAAAAAUUCCGCAUUUUAAAUAAACGUACUUUUGUAGAAUUGCGUUUUAUUGCGAUAACUUUGCAAGCUCAAGAAAAAAAUAUUUCAAGCGUUUCAUAGUGAAAUAUUUUGUUAUUUUAUAAAUGUAAUGAAUACAUGGCAAAAAUAAAGUUCUCUGAAGUGGAUAUGUUUAAUAUUUCUUAUGAAAUUCGGAAUGUUUUAAUUAAUAAACUGGUAGUAGCGUACAUUACAAUAGGAUAAAUUUUACAACUAGGGUUGCUGCUUUCAGAAAGUAGUACUCGCAAAGAAUUUGGUUGAUGUUUAAAAAAUUUCACAAUUGUCUCAUUUAAGGGUUCUACUUUUCGAAAUCUUCGAAAUUAUGCUCUAUUAAGAAGAUCGAUUUUUUCGACUUUUGAUCUGUUAAUUUCACAAUUCUUAUGAGAAUCAAUAUAAAUGUUUUUGUAUGAAUAAUACAUGUAAAUAGUGCUUUAGUUGUAGUUUGAAUGUCACACUGUAUAUGUUUAUUUCAGUUAUCAGCAAUGUACAUGUCUCUCCAGUAUACACAUUGUUAUUGCUUGUAUAAUUCACUUGGCUGUAAUUUGUACAACUAUUUAUAUAUACAUAAAUUACACUUUGUCUAAAUGUCAAGGUCAACGUGAUAUCUAAACAUUCCUAUUUGUAGAGGGAAGCGAAACUGAGUAGGUCAGAAAGGUUCUCCUUCGUCUGUUCAGCUGGAAAGAAGACCUUGAAACUGGACCUCUGACAGGUGCCAUCUUGUAUUUAAAAUAAUGAAGGGAUAUUUUACUCUAAACUAAUUCGUUAAAUAAAGAAGUCACCUUUUGAUUUAACAGUUUUUUUAUUACCUAGCAUGAUUAUUAACAAAUAGAUUUGUUUAACCUGUUCGAAUUUUUUUGAACAAUUCUUUUUUAAACAAUUCUUUAAUAUUUUUUUUUUCAAAUUUUAAUGAUAAAGUUGAUCCUGGUUGCCUAGAGGAGAUAUAUUACGAUGUAAAUAACCUGCAUGUUAGUAAUUUAUUAUUGUUGCAUAUAAUUACUGUUGUUAUUCUGUUGUACACAACCUUCAAUUAUUCUUUUUAUAGAAUCAUUAUUGUAUAUUGUUCUAUCAAUUGUUUAAACAUCACAGAUACAGCAGUUUCAUUACAUUACUCCGCGUUUUUUCAUAUAGAUUCUGCAUUACUGUAUAUUUUCAAAAUUUAUCUUUUAGAUUUUGUUUGAUUUGUACCUGUUUGACAAGGUUUGUUUCCUCUGUACCAUGAGUCCCUAACCUGCUGGAACCAAAAAGUGUUAGCCUUUGCCAUGAUAAAGAGCCGGGCCUGCUUGCACAUCCAUAUGCUGUCUAACCAAUUUCUUUAUUGCCAGCUAAGCUCAAUAUUUGUAUUUUGAUAACAAAACAUCUUAAACUUUGAAUGGACUGUUCCAAUUUCAAAUCCAGGUAAAUCCAUAAUGUAAAUUCAGCAGAUUAAGGGAUAAGUGGAUACAUGUAUUAGGGGUUAUGGCAGUUUUAUGCCACCAGUAGAGAAGAGUCCAUUCUUCAUACAGGUACAUGUUUAUAGUGUAACCAGACUUAUCUUUGUUGUCUGCUUAGUUUAAGCAUGCUGAUAUUGAUAAACUUUUUUUACUAAUCCAAAUGUAAUCUAGAACAAGCUGAACAAACAGGAAUUCAAGAGAAGAGAAAUAAAUACUGAGUUUGUUUUAUGUUGUAACCUGUAUAGAAACUUUCACUUAAUUGUGCCAUUAAAUAAAUAUAUUAAUAACCA